UUUUUUUUUUUUUUUUUUUUUUUUUUUGUC
rnacentral:ribozyme from 1 species